AAAAGCAAAAAAGUGAAAAUUUUGUAAAAGAGUGCAAAUAUAUGAAAAAAAGUCUUUUUCCACACCAAAAAUGCUCUUGUUGCUUUCCAUGACACGCCUGCUGAUCCUUGCGUGCUGUCGGUGUUAUUUGCCCAUCACAAACGCUUCAUCGUUAUUGCAGAAACCGCAGAUUUUUCCCCUGUAAUCGAAGGCCGGAUUUUCUACCAGCAAUCGAUUGGAAGAACUAUUUUCGGGUAAUCAACGCAAAGCCAGAUCAGAUCCGAUUUGUAAGAAUUUGUACUCCAUUUGAGAAGUGAAAGGAAAGCAAUGGCACGACAUGACCAGACCCUUGGCAAUCCGGAUACGUAUGGAAACGAGUGUAAAACCUCCAUCAGGAAAAAUAGUGUCCGCAAUAACACCAUGAACGCUAGUGUGUAAUCGGAAUCGAUGGCAAUAUGAAUACAAUUAUUAUAUUAUAACCUUAGGUUCGCCUAUUUAUUUCAAACGAGAAAAACCAACAGUAUGGCUUCGGGUAAAAAUUACAAUAAAGCACCAUAAAACA